UACAGAGGGUGCGAGCGUUGUCCGGAAUCACUGGGCGUAAAGGGUGCGUAGGUGGCGGGAUAAGCGUGUGGUGAAAGCUCGGAGCUCAACUCCGAGUCUGCCAUGCGGACUGUCUUGCUUGAGCGUAGUAGAGGCAGGUGGAAUUCCGGGUGUAGCGGUGGAAUGCGUAGAGAUCCGGAAGAACACCGGUGGCGAAGGCGGCCUGCUGGGCUAC
rnacentral:rRNA from 1 species